rnacentral:lncRNA from 13 species
AUGACGAUCCUCAUUGGAAGAGAAUACUUUGGCCUUGGCACGCAGUCAUCUACCAUGGCCAUAGUAGCUGUAAACCUGCUCGUGUUUCCAGAUCAAAAUGCUGAGGGUAGCCGAGAGAAAGGAGAUAUGAUCAAAUCUGUUUUCCUUGCAAGUGCAGAAAUGUACUGCCAUAGGACAUCCCCCUACUGUUACCGCAGCCUGGUCCACCUCCCCCUGCUGUUACCGCAGCCUGGUCCACCUCCCCCUGCUGUUACCGCAGCCUGGUCCACCUCCCCCUGCUAUUACCGCAGCCUGGUCCACCUCCCCCUGCUGUUCCCCCAGCCAGGUCCAUCUACCCAGCCUGGUCCAUCUCCCCCUGCUGCUCCCCAAUCUAGCCAGUUCACCUCUCCAGCCUAGCCAGUCCACCUCCCCCUGCUGCUCCCCAGUCUAGCCAGUCCACCUCCCCCUGCUGCUCCCCAACCUAGCCAGUUCACCUCUCCAGCCUAGCCAGUCCACCUCCCUCUGCUGCUCCCCUAGUGCUGGUGCACAUCUCCGGGUGGCUGUGCUCCUCUGUUCACCAUGUGCCAGAGGGCUUCGUCAGGCAAGUAGAGAGGUGUAGUUAGUGAAUCUCACAGCUAUCAGCUGGAUGUAUGUGGACUGGCUGGAGAGGAGACUGGGUAUUUCCCUGUUGAUUUUCAUACAGAUCAACGUGGAAGGAUCUGGCCUUAAUUUCACCCAACUUUAUAUGAGGUGAACAGUCCUGAACACAGAAGGCUCAGUGAGGGAAGGAUCAAGAGUUCAUUGAGGUCAUGCAAUGCUUUCAGUAAAGCAUUGCAAUAAUGUAAUAUAUUGAUUUUCUGUUAUUUAUUAUACAUACUGGUACAUAAUUUGACCUUAAACUAAGUUCCUGUUAUUAUGAACCCACCUAUCAUGGCCCCACCUAUAAUCUAUUCUGAUGAAGCUACCCUGUAUUGAAUACUGUCUGGUUUUCAGUUUUCCAGUUUUCAGGGUAAUGUGAUGUGCUCUCCACUAGAGGGAGUCUUGGCUGAGAAAAAAUGGAAAUGACAAAUUGUGACCAACAAAUGUGAAAAACGACUCAAAAUUCACCGAUAAAUCUCAUGUCAACGGAGAGGACAUGGACAAACAUACUGACAACUGUGUUUCUACAUUAACAGAAUAGUUGCCUAAAAACAUAGUUUCAGUCUGAUUUAAGACUAUCAACUGUUUUAGCAAUAGAGAGUUCUAGAGCAGUUCUUUGAAGUCAGGCCCAUGAUUCUAUUAAAAGAUCUGGGAUGUAUUGUAGAUUUGGGAUGUAUCGUUCCCCCCCAAUAAAAGUAAAAGGUAAGCAGAGCGAAGUAGUAAUUGAACAGGGUAGCCUACGCGUUCAAACUUGACUUACAUGGUUUCAUAAUUAUCAUUUAUAAAUACCUGUCCUCUGGUUGUAGGCAAUGCAGCAUUGAGGAACACCAAAUAUAUUAUUUUCUACCAGGGUUUUUCUUUUAACAAGUCUCAUAAAUUCUCUAAAUAUUCUUCCAAUAUUCACUCACAAACUCCUACGGAUACACCCACACAUUCUGAAGAAAGCAACUAUUUGCCAGGGAGAGAAGUAACAGAGCCAGCUACACCUCCCUGCAGAUCUAGAACUGUGUUUGCUGGGUUUCUGGAAUAGUGGAGAGAACUAGCAGCUUAUCUUAUUUUGAGAAUUAAUUUCACAAAAAGGUUUUAAUUUCUUUGAUAUUUCAAAUAAGAUUCCACUUCCACCCACAUCUUGUCUGAUCAAACGGCACUAGUGCCCUUCUCCUAAACACUCCUUGUUCGUCUGCGAUAUCAGCCCCCCUUUUGCAUAUUUGUGCAUAUCACUAGGAGCAGCGCUAUAUGCAUUUUUAAUCUAUGCUUGC